rnacentral:rRNA from 1 species
ACUCCUACGGGAGGCAGCAGUGGGGAAUAUUGCACAAUGGGCGCAAGCCUGAUGCAGCCAUGCCGCGUGUAUGAAGAAGGCCUUCGGGUUGUAAAGUACUUUCAGCAGUGAGGAAGGUGGGUAUGUUAAUAGCAUAUUCAUUUGACGUUAGCUGCAGAAGAAGCACCGGCUAACUCCGUGCCAGCAGCCGCGGUAAUACGGAGGGUGCGAGCGUUAAUCGGAAUUACUGGGCGUAAAGCGCAUGCAGGUGGUUUGUUAAGUCAGAUGUGAAAGCCCGGGGCUCAACCUCGGAAUUGCAUUUGAAACUGGCAAACUAGAGUACUGUAGAGGGGGUAGAAUUUCAGGUGUAGCGGUGAAAUGCGUAGAGAUCUGAAGGAUACCGGUGGCGAAGGCGGCCCCUGGACAGAUACUGACACUCAGAUGCGAAAGCGUGGGAGCAAACAGGAUUAGAUA